GAUGAACGCUGGCGGCGUGCCUAAUACAUGCAAGUCGAGCGAACAGACGAGGAGCUUGCUCCUCUGACGUUAGCGGCGGACGGGUGAGUAACACGUGGAUAACCUACUUAUAAGACUGGGAUAACUGCGGGAAACCGGAGCUAAUACCGGAUAAUAUAGUGAACCGCAUGGUUCAAUAGUGAAAGACGGUUUUGCUGUCACUUAUAGAUGGAUCCGCGCCGCAUUAGUUAGUUGGUAAGGUAACGGCUUACCAAGGCAACGAUGCGUAGUCGACAUGAGAGGGUGAUCGGCCACACUAGAACUGAGACACGUACCAGACUCCUACGGGAGGCAGCAGUAGGGACUCUUCGGCUAUGGGCGGAAGCCUGACGGAACAACGCCGCGUGCGUGAUGACGGUCUUCGACUCGUAAAACUCUGUUAUUAGUGAAGAACAAAUGUGUAAGUAACUAUGCACGUCUUGACGGUACCUAAUCAGAAAGCCACGGCUAACUACGUG
rnacentral:rRNA from 1 species